CGCACCUUGUCACCCUCUGGUAUUCCGGAGGGUAUGCCCGGUUGAGUGUCAUGAAUAUCUCAAACUCCAAUGUUUUGUCAAAGGUCUUUGUCGACUCGUCCUGUCCGGCCUAGCGAGGCUGUCUGUCGAACUGUUGGCGAGGACUGAAGCAUUGGAGCUUGGACUUUGAGCUCUGUUGGCCUUCCCAGGUCGACUGGCUAGAAAUGACAUCAGCGAUGACGUCCCUUGGGUCCAUCUACGGCGUGAUAAGUUGAUCGUCGCAAAGGUCCUUGGGUUGGCUCGGCUCCUAAAUCGUCUUCGGGACAGGCCUCUGAACGUUUACACCUCAACUCGGGUAGGACUACCCGCUGAACUUAA
rnacentral:rRNA from 1 species